UGGCUGAAUAAGGCUGCGUUCAGACAGGGAAACAACAAUCCGGCGAUUUGCUGCAGGGUUGUGCAGUGGUGGGAU